rnacentral:rRNA from 1 species
UACCUGGUGAGGUUGAGAGUACCUGAAGAAUAAGCACCGGCUAACUACGUGCCAGCAGCCGCGGUAAUACGUAGGGUGCAAGCGUUAAUCGGAAUUACUGGGCGUAAAGCGUGCGCAGGCGGACUUUUAAGCCAGAUGUGAAAGCCCCGAGCUUAACUUGGGAAUUGCGUUUGGAACUGGGAGUCUAGAGUCUGUCAGAGGGGGAUGGAAUUCCACGUGUAGCAGUGAAAUGCGUAGAGAUGUGGAGGAACACCGAUGGCGAAGGCAGUCCCCUGGGAUAAGACUGACGCUCAUGCACGAAAGCGUGGGGAGCAAACAGGAUUAGAUACCCUGGUAGUCCACGCCCUAAACGAUGUCUACUAGUUGUUGGGGUAGCAAUACCUCAGUGACGCAGCUAACGCGUGAAGUAGACCGCCUGGGGAGUACGGUCGCAAGAUUAAAACUCAAAGGAAUUGAC